AUUCCAACCCUAAUUGAAGAAAUAACGCGCUGCCGCAUACACUGUUUCUGUAAGGAUCUACUCCGGCGCGAUCUGCUCCAGCGACAACUCUCUCCACCAAGGAUCUCCUCAGCCGCGUUCUCCUCCGACUAGAAUCUCCUCACCGUUCACCGCCAUCGUUCAUCUCCUCGCCGCUGCCUUCAAUGAGCUUCUACGAUCUUGUUCUGGCUUCGAUCUAAAGGUUAGCCAUCGCCACUCAUCUCCUUUGCUGCUUCGUUUAUCACCUCGCCGCCGCAAGCAACAUUGUUGCUGCUUUAGCGAGCUUCGACAAAUCUCUUCACUUUUGUGAUUACGUCCUUGCUCUCACCGUCGAGAACUUCCUCGAGCGCCACCUCCAGACUCUCGUCUUCAAUCCCAGCAUGGCCAAGUCAAUCCACCACGCCAGGUUCUGAUCCGCCAGUGCCACAUUAGAACUUGCUAAAAAAGUUCCACAAGGGUCAUCCAAAAGUCAGAACUCAGAUUAGCAUUGCUGUGGCUGCAUUGGCUGUGCAUGUGCCUGCUGAAGAUUGGGGAGAUGGUGGUAUAGUGAAAUGGCUUAGGGACGAGAUGGAUUCUCAUCCGGAAUAUAUACCAGGAUUCUUGGAGUUACUAACAUUUUUGCCAGAGGUCAUAGUAUGAUAUGUGUAAUUAUGUGUCAUCUCUUCAUUUUAUUAAUGAGACAAAUGCCUAAAGUUUGAGUUACUAAGUGACAAGUUGUUAUAAUUUUCAAAGUUGCUGCCUUGUCGGAUAGUAUUUUUUUCUUGGUUAUCAUUCAGGUUCUUGAAGCGUUUGCUUUGUGGCUUCGCCUAAAGCAUGGGAUUCCCGGAUCUGUUCUCAGUACCCAUCCAUUAGUUCUUACAGCAUUAUCAAGCUUGAAUUCUGAGCUUCUUUCUGAGGCAUCUGUAAAUGCCAAAACAGGAAAUUAAAGGGGAUCUUGAUCAUGGUAAGAGGGUAUUGCAGUGCUCUUAACAAAAUCUAACCUGAUGCCAUACCCAAGUCAAGGAUGUGGUCUUGAAAUUGAACCCGCUUCUCACAAAAGAACAAGCUAUUGGUUUCCGUUGCUGCUGGAGUCAAGCUCCAUGAUCUUCAGGUUUCUCAAUGUAUUAGUUGGUUUUGGACUAUUUGACAGAGAAUUCCUUGUGGUUGGGAGCUGAGUUGAAAUUGGAAUUCCCAUGCUAAUACUGUUUAUAGCCUUAUCUCAGAGAUUGGAUCAGGAGAUUGAGAUUCCAUCACCAAAAGAGUUAGGAAGUAGAUUUUCUGGAGCAAGCAACAAGGAAGCAUGACCUUAUUUGAUAUGUUUAGACGUAUAUUAAGGAGUAUAUUAAGGAUUAUAUGUUAAGACGUAUUAUUAAAAAAUGUUACUUUGAUACUUUAUAUUUGGAUUAUGACUUUUGGAUCAUGUAUGAAUAAAAAAUCAUGUUAUGAUGUUUGAUUUA